AUGCACGCUGGCGGCGUGCCUCAUACAUGCAAGUCGAGCGAACAGACGAGGAGCUUGCUCCUCUGACGUUAGCGGCGGACGGGUGAGUAACACGUGGAUAACCUACCUAUAAGACUGGGAUAACUUCGGGAAACCGGAGCUAAUACCGGAUAAUAUAUUGCACCGCAUGGUUCAAUAGUGAAAGACGGUUUUGCUGUCACUUAUAGAUGGAUCCGCGCCGCAUUAGCUAGUUGGUAAGGUAACGGCUUACCAAGGCAACGAUGCGUAGCCGACCUGAGAGGGUGAUCGGCCACACUGGAACUGAGACACGGUCCAGACUCCUACGGGAGGCAGCAGUAGGGAAUCUUCCGCAAUGGGCGAAAGCCUGACGGAGCAACGCCGCGUGAGUGAUGAAGGUCUUCGGAUCGUAAAACUCUGUUAUUAGGGAAGAACAAAUGUGUAAGUAACUAUGCACGUCUUGACGGUACCUAAUCAGAAAGCCACGGCUAACUACGUG
rnacentral:rRNA from 1 species